ACAUGUCGUUCAACCCGGAAACCGUAGCAAAACGUUGCGCCCCAGAUGUACUACAUCCGCUAUUUUGAUGCAGUCACAUGACCUACCAGCGUCAAUUGCGUCGCUUCACUUCCAUUCCAUUCAUAAAUCCUCUUCUGUGGCCUCGUGGGGUAGUAAAGUGUCCAUGAAAUGCUCACUUCAGAAUCUAGGCGGAAGUAGUAGGUCAUCCGGGUACUCUUCGCCUGCUAUGUAUUCGGACAUAUUCUGCGAAGUGCGUGUACACAGCAUGGUAAAACAAUUCACUGGAGCGGUGAGCUAGCAAGCUGCAUAAAAUUCGAUGAGAUAAAAAAAACGCAGUGUCCCUCAAAACAAUGGGCUUGACAGACAGUCACUAAAUGAACUGUUACUGUAUGGAAAAGAGCUGCACACAGAUUGGACACUCGUUUCAUCGAAAGCUGUGAGAUGGUGGACGUGCCAGAUGCUUCAUAUCGCUCUGUCUGCUGACGAGCUGUACCUGUCCCUUUUUCGGUUCAGAUGAGAACCCCUCCCGUUGUGCGUGCAUGAAUCGCAGGCCUCUCUCGUCUCCUCAGCCUGUUAUCUGUAAAGAGGGCUGAUCUCUUGGCACAAAUCGUGGAGUGAGCUGUCGAAGACGUGGCAGGGUUAAGGAGCGAGCACCGCGUCGAGUCUUGAGAUGAGAAAUCGAGUGGGUGUGCGUGUUGAGUUGGAGAAAAAGGGAAAUAUCAGACAGGGAGCAUUUCAGAAAUACCCAGCCUUACCUGUAUGACAAAACGUCUAGGGGAAAUUGAAUAUAAACUGCUUGAAAAUUUAAAGUAAAUGUCUUGAGUGUUGUUAGCGUGUUCUUAUGCACUCUUAAACAUUAUGCUUGGAAAAAGGGAGUUUUCACAGCGAUGCCAUAAAAGAACCACAUUGUGGUUCUCCAAAGAACCUUUCCACAAACAGUUCUUAAAUGAGCCAUUUUUUCUUUCCUUUGAGCAACUUUUUUUUGCACUAUAAAUAAACUUUU